rnacentral:rRNA from 1 species
AACCUGGUUGAUCCUGCCAGUAGUCAUAUGCUUGUCUCAAAGACUAAGCCAUGCAUGUCUAAGUAUAAAUGGUAUACAAUGAAACUGCGAAUGGCUCAUUAAAACAGUUAUAGUUUAUUUGGUAAUCGAAUUUACAUGGAUAACCGUGGUAAUUCUAGAGCUAAUACAUGCUGUAAGCCCGACUUUGCCGAAGGGCCGUAUUUAUUAGAUAACAGACCAAUAUUCCUCGUGUCUAUUGUGGUGAAUCAUAGUAACUAAUCGGAUCGCAUGGGAAUUUCCCGCGACAAACCAUUCAAGUUUCUGCCCCAUCAGCUUUCGAUGGUAGUGUAUUGGACUACCAUGGCUCUUUACGGGUAACGGAGGAUUAGGGUUCGAUUCCGGAGAGGGAGCCUGAGAAACGGCUACCACAUCUAAGGGAGGCAGCAAGGCGCGUAAAUUACCCAAUCCUAAUUCAGGGAGGUAGUGACAAGAAAUAACGGAUCGGGGCUCUGCCCUGGGACUGAAAUGAGAUGAAUUUACACCCCUU